rnacentral:rRNA from 1 species
ACGCUCGACACCUACGGUAGGCAGCAGUGAGGAAUAUUGGUCAAUGGACGCAGGUCUGAACCAGCCAUGCCGCGUGCAGGAUGACGGCUCUAUGAGUUGUAAACUGCUUUUGUACGAGGGUAAACGCAGAUACGUGUAUCUGUCUGAAAGUAUCGUACGAAUAAGGAUCGGCUAACUCCGUGCAAGCAGCCGCGGUAAUCUGAGCGGGCUGGCAAGGC